rnacentral:rRNA from 1 species
CCUACGGGAGGCAGCAGUGGGGAAUAUUGCACAAUGGGGGCAACCCUGAUGCAGCGACGCCGCGUGAGUGAAGAAGUAAUUCGUUAUGUAAAGCUCUAUCAGCAGGGAAGAAAAUGACGGUACCUGAGUAAGAAGCCCCGGCUAACUACGUGCCAGCAGCCGCGGUAAUACGUAGGGGGCAAGCGUUAUCCGGAUUUACUGGGUGGAAAGGGAGCGUAGACGGCAGUGCAAGUCUGGAGUGAAAGGCGGGGGCUCAACCCCCGGACGGCUGUGGAAACUUUACGGCUGGAGUGCAGGAGAGGUAAGUGGAAUUCAUGGUGUAGCGGUGAAAUGCGUAGAUAUUAGGAGGAACACCAGUGGCGAAGGCGGCUGACUGGACUGUAACUGACGUUGAGGCUCGAAAGCGUGGGGAGCAAACAGGAUUAGAUACCCCAGUAGUC